rnacentral:lncRNA from 1 species
GAAGGCUGUGAGGAAGCCACAUGCUGUUUUUCAUCUCCCAGCAUUGUACCCUUACUCCUCCUCUUUAUAUUGAAGUAACACAGUGAAACAUGCUGUGUGUAUCUGGGGGAGGAGAGGAAAACAGAGAAGUUGCAACUAUGGGGAUGGAUUUGGAGCAAUCCAGAUUUCAUUUGCCCCCUUUCCACAAGAAGGUUGUGGAAGCUGUGCUCCUGACCCAUUUGUUCUUCCAUUACGCUGUAAUGUUUGGAAAAAUACACAGCAGGAUUUAUGGAAAGUGCUUCAAAGCCUAAUUUUCCUCUCCAAAUCUCCAGCAGGUAUCUCUCCGAGCUCCGCUUCACAUGAGGAGUACGUGCAGCUGACCUCCUGAACUGGGCAUGGAAGAAGCAGAGAAAGCCAAAUCUCUCUCUGUUGUGCUCAGGCCUUGGAAUCACCCAAGGUCACUACUGCAAAACACAGCGUGCCCUGAGGACCUCCCCAGCCUUUCUGCACAGGUGACCUAACAGGAAAGCUAAGUGGAACUUUGGGUUGGUGGUGAUAUGCAGGCCAACCCAAAGACAACUGAAUCUGACUCAUUUCCUUUAUCAUUACCUUUUUAACCCUUUAAAGAUCAGCCUUUGUAACCAAUAAAAUUGAUCAUGCAUGCCUUCACUGUUCAGACUUGCUGUGUAUUCAGCAGCUGUUUUCUAACUUACAGUAUCUCUUGUGUUUUGUCCCUGAAUUCCAUGCAGUCUGUGACUCCCAUAUGGACAAACUUGUCUGUCCUUGAUAUGAAAUUUGGUCUCAGCUUUGGCAGUUUGCAAGUCUACACUACAGCAUAUCUUUAAAAAGGAAAACCAGCAGCUGCAACUAACCAGAACGUUCUGCAUCACCUUCAACUACUGUAGCCCUUUUGAUACUGAUAGCAGAGAGUUUUUUAAUAACUAUCUCUAUUUACCCGCAUGUUCUUUGAGGUGUGAGCUGGCUCAUGAUGAUGACAGUAUCCACUGAGGACCAGAAAGCUAUAAACAGUACUAUAAACUCAAAGAUGUGUGUAUAGCACCAGAGGUAAAGCAUUCCCAUACUGACGUGGAAUCUAAUUCCAGCCAAUGAUUUGUAACAAUCAUGAACUUAACCUGGAAGGAGACAGGUAAGCAGUCAUGUGAGGUAAAUGGGCUUUGUCUCCCCAAAGCCUUCUCUCUUGAAAUGAUUUCCUCAUUAAUGCACUCCUUCCUAAAUUCUACUUUAGCUCUCAUUUGCAUUUUUGAGUUCUUAAGGCUGUUUUCAGAUGUACUGUAUACACGCCAAAGGCCAUGUAAAUGCAGGCUCUACUCUGAGCUCAGUGAACUUCAGCCAAUUUAUUCUAGUUGAGUAACUGUCCAGGUGAAUCCAGAUUUCUUUACUCAUUUUUCAGCAGAAUAAACUGUAAUCAGCCUCUCUGUAAAUAUGCAUCUUAUAUACCCAAUAUUAACUAGAUCUAAUCAGCUUAAUUAUGUGGUUAAUAAUAAUUCAAGUUCAUGCAGCAUAAUCUUCUAUUUAAAGUGGGUACAAUAUUUUACAGUAUCUGAAAAAUGGCUUGGCUUAAUAAACAGAUGGAAGAAAAAUAUCUUUAAAAAGAGAAUUAAAGGACAACUCUUGAAUGCAGAUUGCAGCAUUACCCAAAGAACAUUCACACACAAAUCCUUCUUCCAGAGAAGUGCUGCACAACAGGCGUUCACCAACAAAAGGAUUUUCAAUACUAUUUGAAAUCCUGUUCUGGCUUCUACAGUGCAAAUCUGUCUCCUCAUCUGCAGGAGAGCUCAAAAACAGUACAGUUGUGUUCUACUGUGCAAGUGCCAACCCUACGGCAGUGCCAAUUCUGUACUGUAUAAACCGUUUUGUAUCUCUAUUUCUACCUGCUAUCUCUUUUGCCUCACUGGUACAAACAAAUGUUGUUUUGGUGCAAGGCACUGCAGAAUGAGUCUGGAUGCAUUGGCAUACUUCUGAGUUCACUUCCUGAACCGUAUUAAUAUCUAAUAAUUAAAAACCGUUUUCAAAUACUUAAAAUUCAUGUUUCACUAAAGAUGGUUAUACCCAACACCCACAUUUUGACCACUUUUGGUUUAUAAUUAUCCUUUUCUAAUUCUUCCAUAUUUACUUAUUGUAACUCUAUAUAUCAUAUACAGCAUUUAAUGCUAUAUUUUAAACUGCAGACAGCAAAUCAAAAUGCUUCAGCUCUGUUUUUCAUGGUUCAGACAUGUCUGAAAUAUAAUGAGAGCAGGGAUUUGUCUGCCCUGAUUUAAUUACUACAAUCCAGAUAACUCUGUCAAUCAAUUUUUCUCCUUGUGACUCCUGGCAGGGUGAAAAAUGCCUUCAUUAUAAGGACUGAUCAUUAGUGGAUGUGAAGUUGAGAAGAUGAUGAAGAUGAGUUGUUGGGUCUGGCAGAGAAUUGACCCAUCAGUGUCAUUAAGUGAACUGCGGCAAGCCCAGCAAUUCCCAUGGGGCAAAUCAUUGAAUUCCUCAGGAGCAAAGGUCUGUGUCUGUCUAUACCAAAGCACUUUGAAAUGUACACACAUGCAGUUUGCAGUAGUCUGAUGGAUAACUAAACAAUUACACAGGCAGUAACUGAUUUGUCCUUCUCUUUUCAUGAAAGAAACAACCUUUAAGGUACUGUGUUUUAGUUUCCUUUCUAUGUGACGGUUUAAAUAACGUUUAUAUCCACUGCCCUUUCAACUCUGUAUUACCAAAGUUCAGCUCCAAGCUGCAUCCACCUCCCAACACACAAAAGCUCUGUAUUAAAAAUGUUAAUUGCAAUUCUGAGUUCUUUUCCUUCUAAAUACUGAACGACAAGACCGGCUCUCUGAGCUCUAAGGAAUUUGUAAUCAAUGUUUUUCACAUAGCUGUAAAAACACCUUCCUGUAGAGCAGCCUCAGUGACAAGCAACUGAAUGAAAAACGAGCACUGUAUGUUCAAUGUUUUUUUCUAAACUAUGCUUUAAUUGCAAACGGUAAUUUUACGUAAUUGACCUAUUAAUCAUAAAAUAAAAUUUAAAAAAGGAGGAAAAUUGUUACAAACCAAAAUAUUGCUAGGAGAGCAGUACUCACACAGAGAACAUUCUGUUGGAAUCAAAGGCAUACGCAGGGGACCACAAUACGGAGGCAGGGAUGCUGUGCAGGUUACUGUCAUUGUGCUGCUUUUAGAGUAAGUUGUAGAGGACACCGUGUGGGGACUCAGGGCUAUGUGCUAUAAGCCCCCAGGCACCGCAGUCUGACCUCUCCAGCUUUCAGGCUGCAGAGUCGGGCAGUUCUUGCAGUGCCCAUUUCAGCUCCUGUGCUAAUUCUUCCCUGGUGGACUACAAACAUUUACUGAGAAGAUUUAAUUGUGAGGUCUUUGGUUGCUAGCACAUGAUUCAAACUUCAGAUUGAAGGCAAUUUAAACACACGAGUGUGCAAGCAGGGAGAUGCAAAGCAUGCAAGCAACCUUUGGCAGGAGUACAGAGAGAAUACAG